rnacentral:rRNA from 1 species
CCUACGGGCGGCAGCAGUGGGGAAUAUUUGACAAUGGGGGGAACCCUGAUCCAGCCAUGCCGCGUGUGUGAAGAAGGCCCUCGGGUUGUAAAGCACUUUCAGUGAGGAAGAACGCCUGGUGGUUAAUACCCAUCAGGAAAGACAUCACUCACAGAAGAAGCACCGGCUAACUCCGUGCCAGCAGCCGCGGUAAUACGGAGGGUGCGAGCGUUAAUCGGAAUUACUGGGCGUAAAGCGCGCGUAGGUGGCUUGAUAAGCCGGUUGUGAAAGCCCCGGGCUCAACCUGGGAACGGCAUCCGGAACUGUCAAGCUAGAGUGCAGGAGAGGAAGGUAGAAUUCCCGGUGUAGCGGUGAAAUGCGUAGAGAUCGGGAGGAAUACCAGUGGCGAAGGCGGCCUUCUGGACUGACACUGACACUGAGGUGCGAAAGCGUGGGUAGCAAACAGGAUUAGAUACCCUAGUAGUC